rnacentral:rRNA from 1 species
AUCGGAAACGUACCCAGUCGUGGGGAUAACGUAGCGAAAGUUACGCUAAUACCGCAUACGUCCUGAGGGAGAAAGCGGGGGACCGAAAGGCCUCGCGCGAUUGGAGCGGCCGAUGUCGGAUUAGCUAGUUGGUAGGGUAAAGGCCUACCAAGGCGACGAUCCGUAGCGGGUCUGAGAGGAUGAUCCGCCACACUGGGACUGAGACACGGCCCAGACUCCUACGGGAGGCAGCAGUGGGGAAUUUUGGACAAUGGGCGCAAGCCUGAUCCAGCCAUGCCGCGUGAGUGAAGAAGGCCUUCGGGUUGUAAAGCUCUUUCAGGUGGAAAGAAAACGCAUGGGUCAAUACCCUGUGUGGAUGACGGUACCAUCAGAAGAAGCACCGGCUAACUACGUGCCAGCAGCCGCGGUAAUACGUAGGGUGCGAGCGUUAAUCGGAAUUACUGGGCGUAAAGCGUGCGCAGGCGGUGAUGUAAGACAGAUGUGAAAUCCCCGGGCUCAACCUGGGAACUGCGUUUGUGACUGCAUCACUCGAGUACGGCAGAGGGAGGUGGAAUUCCGCGUGUAGCAGUGAAAUGCGUAGAUAUGCGGAGGAACACCGAUGGCGAAGGCAGCCUCCUGGGCCAGUACUGACGCUC